rnacentral:rRNA from 1 species
UAGUGAGUUUGAUCCUGGCUCAGGGUGAACGCUGGCGGCGUGCUUAAGACAUGCAAGUCGAACGGCAGUCUUCGGACUGUAGUGGCGCACGGGUGAGUAACGCGUAACUGACCUACCCCAAAGUCGCGGAUAACGGUUCGAAAGAAUCGCUAAUACGUGAUGUGCUGUCAGAUCUUGUUCUGCCAGUAAAGAUUUAUUGCUUUGGGAUGGGGUUGCGUUCCAUCAGCUAGUUGGUAGGUAAAGGCCUACCAAGGCGACGACGGAUAGCCGGCCUGAGAGGGU